UGGGGAAUAUUGGACAAUGGGCGCAAGCCUGAUCCAGCCAUGCCGCGUGGAUGAUGAAGGCCCUAGGGUUGUAAAGUCCUUUUCGGCGGGGAAGAUAAUGACGGUACCCGCAGAAGAAGCCCCGGCUAACUUCGUGCCAGCAGCCGCGGUAAUACGAAGGGGGCUAGCGUUGCUCGGAAUCACUGGGCGUAAAGCGCACGUAGGCGGAUUCUUAAGUCGGUGGUGAAAUCCUGGAGCUCAACUCCAGAACUGCCUCCGAUACUGAGAGUCUUCGAGUCCGGGAGAGGUGAGUGGAACUGCGAGUGUAGAGGUGAAAUUCGUAGAUAUUCGCAAGAACACCAGUGGCGAAGGCGGCUCACUGGCCCGGUACUGACGCUGAGGUGCGAAAGCUAGGGGAGCAAACAGGAUUAGAUACCCAUGUAGUCCCUGAGCGGGCUGGCAAGGCGCAU
rnacentral:rRNA from 1 species